UUCCUGGAUGAUUUAUUUGGUCAUAUUUUGUUGGAUGACUUGUCCUGGUACGGAUUCAUGAUUGUGGUUGGAUUGCCUGAUGGAUUGUGUUAUUACGGCUUCUGUUUUGGAAUAGUUUCUUCGUCGCUAUGGGGCUUUAAUCUUGAUGUAGGAAAUGAACUUCUGUUUUGUCUGUGACUGUUGGAAAAUCUAAAAAAAAUAUGACCAAAUAAAUCAUCCAGGAA
rnacentral:misc_RNA from 1 species